GAGAAAAACUACCACCACUGUGGUUUCACACCAGUUGUCACUGAGCUAUCAUACAGGGAAAACAUAAAUAAAUUAUUCCUCUGUGCUUUUCGGGUAUAUGCACAGACACUUUGUUGUGUUUUUUACUAAUACUACCACUGCUACUACUUGUCUCAGCCACGGCCAUCUCCCAGUACUUUCCCCUGUGUUUCUGUGGGUUUUACUUUUCCCCUGUAUCCCCUGUGUUCCCCUGUUUUUCUCUCUGUGUUUGUGGGUGUGGUGUUUAUGUGGCGCUCCCACUCUCACUAUCCUGGCUCCUGGAUACCUGCUCUGCCUGCACACCUGCCUUCAAUCAGCUCAUCACCUCCCUCAACCUACACACCUGUCAACCAAAAGCUCAUCUCCGGCUAUUCACCCACUUUUCACCAGGUUGCUGUUUCAGCUACUGUGGAUCACUCCUUGUCUGUCUGCCUGCCCGCUAAACCUGCUUGCCUGCCCACGCCAUUCACCAUCACUCCCCAAUCCCCAGCCAUCACCAGCCUUCCUCUACAAAUAAACUUUCUUAAUCUCA